rnacentral:pre_miRNA from 1 species
UUAAUACUCCUUUCUUUCGGAAAUACUUGUUCUAAAAAUAAAUAUAAUGGAUGUAUCUAUAACUAAAAUAAGUCUAGAUUCAUUCAUUUCUAGGACAGGUAUUUCCGGACGGAGGGAGUAUAUC